UUCUUGGUCAUUUAGAGGAAGUAAAAGUCGUAACAAGGUUUCCGUAGGUGAACCUGCGGAAGGAUCAUUAAAGAAAUUUAAUAAUUUUGAAAAUGGAUUUUUUUGUUUUGGCAAGAGCAUGAGAGCUUUUACUGGGCAAGAAGACAAGAGAUGGAGAGUCCAGCCGGGCCUGCGCUUAAGUGCGCGGUCUUGCUAGGCUUGUAAGUUUCUUUCUUGCUAUUCCAAACGGUGAGAGAUUUCUGUGCUUUUGUUAUAGGACAAUUAAAACCGUUCCAAUACAACACACUGUGGAGUUUCCAUAUCUUUGCAACUUUUUCUUUGGGCAUUCGAGCAAUCGGGGCCCAGAGGUAACAAACACAAACAAUUUUAUCUAUUCAUUAAAUUUUUGUCAAAAACAAGAAUUUUCGUAACUGGAAAUUUUAAAAUAUUAAAAACUUUCAACAACGGAUCUCUUGGUUCUCGCAUCGAUGAAGAACGCAGCAAAAUGCGAUACGUAAUGUGAAUUGCAGAAUUCCGUGAAUCAUCGAAUCUUUAAACGCACAUUGCGCCCCUUGGUAUUCCAGGGGGCAUGCCUGUUUGAGCGUCAUUUCCUUCUCAAACAUUCUGUUUGGUAGUGAGUGAUACUCUUUGGAGUUAACUUGAAAUUGCUGGCCUUUUCAUAGGAUGUUUUUUUUUCCAAAGAGAGGUUUCUCUGCGUGCUUGAGGUAUAAUGCAAGUACGGUCGUUUAGGUUUUACCAACUGCGGCUAAUCUUUUUUAUACUGAGCGUAUUGGAACGUUAUCGAUAAGAAGAGAGCGUCUAGGCGAACAAUGUUCUUAAAGUUUGACCUCAAAUCAAGUAGGAGUACCCGCUGAACUUAAGCAUAUCAAUAAGCGGAGGAA
rnacentral:rRNA from 1 species